UGAUUGUUUAUGGGCCGUUGCCGUCUUUCGUUCUUUUUUUUUUAGCAUGAUGUGGCAGAAAGAGUACUAGCUUUGGAGUCAAGAGGACCUGAGGCUAAAUCUUGCCCUGAUAUAUUAGCUGAGAGAAAGACUGGAAGACAGGCUGGAGGAGGGAGAGCCCCAAGGCAGGGAGAAUAAUACUCCAGUUUCCUGAAGCCAUGGCACAUUUGGACAGCAUACUGAAAAAAGAGACACAUCACCUUGCUGACAAAGAUCUAUAUAGUCAAAGCUAUGGUAGCAAUGUAUGGCUGUGGGAGUUGGACUAUAAGGAAAACUGAGUGCUGCAGAGUCCAUGCUUUUGAAUUAUGGUGCUGGAGAACUUUUGAGAGUCCUUUGGACAGAAAGGAAGUCAAAUCAAUCAACAUUUAUAGAAAUUAAUUCAGGCUGUUCACUGGAAGGUCAAAUACUGAUGCUGGAGCUUAAAUAAUUUGGCCACAUCAUGAGAAGAUGGGACUCAUUGGAAAAGACCCUGAUGUUGGGAAAGACUGAAGGCAAAAGGAAAAGGGGAUAGCAGA